rnacentral:pre_miRNA from 7 species
GAGAAGGCGAUCCCGUGGCCGCUCUCACCCCCUUAUCACUUUUCCAGCCCAGCUUCUUCGCUCUGACUGUUGGACGGAGAACUGAUAAGGGUGUGCGGGUGGCACGAGCACCUGGCUGUGCC